GACGAACGCUGGCGGCGUGCCUAAUACAUGCAAGUCGAGCGAAUCUUUAGGAGCUUGCUCCUGAAGGUUAGCGGCGGACGGGUGAGUAACACGUGGGCAACCUGCCUGUAAGACUGGGAUAACACCGGGAAACCGGUGCUAAUACCGGAUAAUUCUUUUCCUUACAUGAGGGAAAGCUGAAAGUCGGUUUCGGCUGACACUUACAGAUGGGCCCGCGGCGCAUUAGCCAGUUGGUGAGGUAACGGCUCACCAAGGCGACGAUGCGUAGCCGACCUGAGAGGGUGAUCGGCCACACUGGGACUGAGACACGGCCCAGACUCCUACGGGAGGCAGCAGUAGGGAAUCUUCCGCAAUGGACGAAAGUCUGACGGAGCAACGCCGCGUGAGUGAUGAAGGCCUUCGGGUCGUAAAACUCUGUUGUUAGGGAAGAACAAGUAUCGGAGUAACUGCCGGUACCUUGACGGUACCUAACCAGAAAGCCACGGCUAACUACGUGCCAGCAGCCGCCGUAACAC
rnacentral:rRNA from 1 species